rnacentral:rRNA from 1 species
GAUGAACGCUGGCGGCGUGCCUAAUACAUGCAAGUCGAGCGAACAGACGAGGAGCUUGCUCCUCUGCCGUUAGCGGCGGACGGGUGAGUAACACGUGGAUAACCUACCUAUAAGACUGGGAUAACUUCGGGAAACCGGAGCUAAUACCGGAUAAUAUAUUGAACCGCAUGGUUCAAUAGUGAAAGACGGUUUUGCUGUCACUUAUAGAUGGAUCCGCGCCGCAUUAGCUAGUUGGUAAGGUAACGGCUUACCAAGGCGACGAUGCGUAGCCGACCUGAGAGGGUGAUCGGCCACACUGGAACUGAGACACGGUCCAGACUCCUACGGGAGGCAGCAGUAGGGAAUCUUCCGCAAUGGGCGAAAGCCUGACGGAGCAACGCCGCGUGAGUGAUGAAGGUCUUCGGAUCGUAAAACUCUGUUAUUAGGGAAGAACAAAUGUGUAAGUAGCUAUGCACGUCUUGACGGUACCUAAUCAGAAAGCCACGGCUAACUACGUG